rnacentral:rRNA from 1 species
UACGUAGGGGGCUAGCGUUGUCCGGAUUUAUUGGGCGUAAAGAGCGUGUAGGCGGCCAGAUAGGUCUGCUGUGAAAACUCGAGGCUCAACCUCGAGACGUCGAUGGAAACCAUCUGGCUAGAGUCCGGAAGAGGAGAGUGGAAUUCCUGGUGUAGCGGUGAAAUGCGCAGAUAUCAGGAAGAACACCCGUGGCGAAGGCGGCUCUCUGGUACGUGACUGACGCUGAGACGCGAAAGCGUGGGGAGCAAACAGG